GUAUGUCAUGGCAGUCCCAUACACUUUUAAAGUACGUUUUAUGGACGACAGGAAUCCGUUCACUGUGGCAUACGCAGAGCCAACAGUGCCUCCAACAUUCGUGUUCUUGGAAGAUGAGACUCUCUUAGAACCAGAUACCUCGACUGAUCAAAGUUCUAAAUGCUCCACACCAGGUAGACGAAGCUGCACUACAAGUCUCUAUAGAUAACUCCUACCUGGACCUGGAUUCCACAAUAGUAAAUCUGUGCGAGGGUGGAAGUUUAGAUCCCACAAAUCGCAAGACAAUCCUAAUUCUCAGGACCAGUCUGUCUGUCAGAGUCCACAACUGCUGUGAAACGCUACAAAAAUCCAGUGGUAGGGACUUGAGAAAAGCUUUGUUCUCGUUGAAGCGUAUAUUCAAGGACGACCAAGAUCUGGUGCACUGUUUUGUUGACAAGGGAGGUCUGGAUACCCUAGUCAGUGUGGGGGAGGAUGCUGAUCACAACUACAUUAUCUACAUUAUCAGGGCGCUGGGAGAGGUUAUGGUGUAUGUGGAUGGAAUGCAGGGAAUCAUAAAACACCACCGCACUAUACAGUGGCUCUACGUUCUUAUCACUAAAUACGGAAACAAGUCGAUAAUGCUAGUAAAGGGAUGUCUGGAGCUCCUGCUAGUGUUCAUCAACUACAAAGAAGAUACCAAUUCGCACUUGGUAGUCAAAUGUGUGCACUCA